rnacentral:rRNA from 1 species
GACGAACGCUGGCGGCGCGCUUAACACAUGCAAGUCGAGCGAGAACCAGGACUUCGGUCCUGGGGACAGCGGCGAACGGGUGAGUAACACGUGGAUAACCUGCCCUCGGCACCGGGAUAGCCCGAGGAAACUCGGAUUAAUACCGGAUAGCCCUUCCGACUCUCGAGUCGGUCCGAAAAGGUAGCUUCGGCCUCUGGCCGAGGAUGGGUCCGCGGCGGAUUAGCUUGUUGGUGGGGUAACGGCCUACCAAGGCANCGAUCCGUAGCUGGUCUGAGAGGACGAUCAGCCACACUGGGACUGAGACACGGCCCAGACUCCUACGGGAGGCAGCAGUGGGGAAUCUUGCGCAAUGGGCGAAAGCCUGACGCAGCGACGCCGCGUGAGGGAAGAAGGCC